rnacentral:rRNA from 1 species
GAUGAACGCUGGCGGCGUGCCUAAUACAUGCAAGUAGAACGCUGAAGGAGGAGCUUGCUCUUCUGGAUGAGUUGCGAACGGGUGAGUAACGCGUAGGUAACCUGCCUGGUAGCGGGGGAUAACUAUUGGAAACGAUAGCUAAUACCGCAUGACAACAGUUAUUGCAUGAUAACUGUUUAAAAGGGGCAACUGCUCCACUACCAGAUGGACCUGCGUUGUAUUAGCUAGUUGGUGAGGUAACGGCUCACCAAGGCGACGAUACAUAGCCGACCUGAGAGGGUGAUCGGCCACACUGGGACUGAGACACGGCCCAGACUCCUAAGGGAGGCAGCAGUAGGGAAUCUUCGGAAAUGGACGGAAGGCUUACCGAGCAACGCCGCGUGAGUGAAGAAGGGUUUCGGAUCGUAAAGCUCUGUUGGAAGAGAAGAACGAGUGUGAGGGUGGAAAGUUCACACUGUGACGGUAUCUUACCAGAAAGCGACGGCUAACUACGUG